UCCCAUUCCACAUAGCUAAAGACAUGCUUUGAAGUUUAUACAAACAACCAACACCACAAUCCACAAUACACUACAUAAACGCAAUUAAUCACCCAAGAAAUGUUAACUGGCACAGCACAACUAUAAACAGGCAGCCAAUACAAAUAUAAAACAACAAAUAAUAACUGAAAUGUUGUUUCAGUUAAUCUAUUAACUUAUAUGAAGUAAAAAUUAUGUCAUUUAUGAUAAUCAAGUUUUCCAUUGAUUUAAAUUAAUUAUAUUAAUGAAACAACAAAUACUCAAAUAUGGAAUUAAUUUGGUUUUUAUAUUUUUAUAAUUUAAGUCACAGUUUAUAUGUAUAAUUAUAUAAUAGUCAAAACAGUUUAAUUCAUCUAUUAAAUAUAUCUCACAUUGAUUUUAAAUUUUCAGAUGCUUUAUAAUAAAAAGGGUUAAUACAACCUUUUAAAAUCUAUUUUUUUUUAUAAUACACAAUUUUAGAAUAUUGGUGAUUUGAAAAAUAUUUUUGUUUUGAUUGACCAUUUCCAAAAUAUAAGAUAGUUAUUACAAAGUCUUACGAAAGCAACACAAACUAAUACCUAAAGUUAUAAUAUAUUUCAUAUGAAGAUUAAUAUGCCUUCCAUGCAUAUAUUUAAAUUUUACUAACUAUUCCAUUUCUCUAAAUCCCCUAAUCAAUGAUGUAGGAAUUAAACCUAAAAUUAAAAAAAUUUAUAAUUUUGACAAAUAAUUUUUAAAAUGAUAAUAAAAUUUGAUAAAUCUAUUAAAAUAUAUUUUCAUAUCUAAACUAUGUAUUUAAAUUAUUAUAAAAAUCCGGCGCGUAGCGCCGGAAAACCACUAGUAUAUAUAUAUAACAGUCUUUAACAGCAAUCAUUUCACACAACUGUUUAAUCCUCUAUUAUUCUAUUUUCAGUUUAACAUUCAAAAAUAAUAAUAAACAAACAAGACUCUCAAACAGACUCGAUUCACAGAGACGAAUCAUGUUUCGAAACUAAACUUUCCAUAAAAUAGUAGUACUAAACUAGCUCAGGAUUUAACAGAAUAGCCCUCACCUUAGCAACUGGCUGAAAUGCACAACGGAAGAUGGUCAACUGCAACACGAAAGUCAACGAUAUAGGCUCAGAGUCUCAAGAAAUAAAGUUUCCCAAAAUAGAAACUUUCCUAAAAUAGAAACUCUCCUAAAAUAGCAAGUUUCCAAAAAUAGAAACUUCCCUAAUAUAACUUAUUUUCUAAAUUAGAAUCUUUCCUAAAAUAUUCCAAUAACUAGAAAUAUGAAGGCGACAAACUUACUAGAAAAACUCGCCGGAAGCUCACCCAAUUAUCCCGUCGGAAGCUCGCCCAGAAAUUCCACCUGAAAAAUUCACUAGCGACUGGUCGUCGGAUAAUUCAACAACAACUCGUCACGCGCAAAGAAAUACUUUGACUUUAUGAGAAUAAAAAGAAAGGGUAGAGUUUCUUAUAUAGGAGAAGGGAAGGGAGGAAGGUUUUCUAAUUUCCAAUGUGGGACAAAGUUAAGGAAAAAAAAGGGUUUUGGGUUUUAAUUUAAAAAAAUACAAACGGGCCUCUCCCUCCUUGGGUCAUGGACGUUACAAUAUUAUUGAUAGAGCAUCACAUCAAAACUGUUUCGGAAUCAGUAUCGCCAAGUCAGAUAAGAGUCGAUAUGUGGUGAAAUGUCGGGGAGCAGCUGAGGGUUGUAUAUGGCUUGUGAGAGCUACAAAGAUAAAUAAUUCUGAAGCGUUCUCGAUUAGAACAUACACAGGGAUGCAUUCAUUCUCUCGCGCAACGUCAAGUACUGAAACGAAAAGGAAACCUACACCAAGAUGUGUUGCAGCUAUAGUGCAUACGGAUUAUCCCGGACUAUAUGAGACACCAACUGCAAAAACCCCGGUCGGUCUGGUGCAAAGGACAUUAGGUGUGUGAUGUGAUCUUGGCAAGCAAAAGAAAUAAUGCAACUAAGGAGAUACAACAGCUUGUACCAGAACUUAAGGAAGUCAAAGAAUGCGACUCGGUGGAUGCUACAUAAGGGAUGCAAUCCAGUGGAUAUGAUUCUGUGGAUGCAAGUGAGUGAAUGCAACCCCGUGGAUGCCAUUAUGACGAUUUACACAUGCCACUUGGUCCGAUGAAUCGGUCUAAGCAAGCAAGGUUGCAGUAAGCUCUUCACCAACUCCUACACACUAUCCAGGGCAGUCUAGAGUGUGCUGAUCCAACCACACUGGUUGUGAUUCAAGCCGUCUAGCUCAUUCAUCAAGAGAGGUGUUGUCACUUGCACUCUUUUCCUUGGUUUGGUUUUGUCCCACUGGGUUUUCCAAACAAGGUUUUUAAUGAGGCUUGGACACAACACUACACAUGAGCCUCUUGAUGAAACCAUGCUCAUUUUCUGUCCCAUUUUCAUCCAUGAAGAAGUAUCCAUAAGCAUAUCUUUUAAAUUUGAACUUUAGUCUUUAUUUUCAUUAAUUAUUUUGUGUUUUUAAGAAGCUGUGCAUGUAAAGUCUUCUUCUCUAUAUAUUAUGGACGAAAUUCCUCAAUAAAAUCAUCACACUCUUUUCUAGUAAAAAUUCUCUCUGAAUCUUGUUUGAUCAAAGCUUGUCUAGUGUAUUUCAGAUUCAUCCUGACAUUGCAAGCAAAAUCCGAUAGUAUGAGAGCCAAUUCCGCAACUCUUAGAAGUAUCAUCUCAAUCCACUUCUUAUUUCAUCAUCACAAUCGUUGCAGAACAUUCAGGGACGUGAUCAAUCUAUCCAGGAUCACUUCAAGUGGUAUCAGAGCAUAUCUCCAUCAUCAGGUUGUGUUUUUCCUGUUCUGCAACUUUUAGGCUUUUGGUUUUCUGUUUUCAGAUCUGUUCUAAAGUUUAGAUCUUGUUAGAUUUGUGAUUAAUCUAUCCAGAUCUUGUUAGAUCCGUGUUGAUUAAGAUCAGAUCUACCUAGAUCAAGUGUUGAAAUUACUAAAUAAUUGAACUUGAUUCACAAAAAAUUACAGAGAAAAGAAUUAGGGUUCUUAUUGAAAAAAAUUUGAAUCUGAUUAUUCUAGAUUCUAUUCCAUUACUUUCUGUUAUAUUAUGUUUCUGUGAUCUCUUUUACUGGGUUUGUGUUUGGAAAAUCAACAGGAACCAUGGAAGAAGAAGACAAUCAGAACAAUGGAAUGGAUCAAUUGCUACUUGAUGCUUUGACUACACGCAUGAGUACUUUGAUGGAUCAGAGAAUAGAGAACUUCAGGGCUGAGGUUGUGCAUUCAGAUCGGGAGAGACCCAGAGGAAUUGCGAGCCAACCUGCUAUAGAAAGUUAUUAUAGCCAUUCAAACCGAUCUAGUGGCUCUAGAAGAAGAAGGCAAGACAGAGGAGAUAGGCCACAAACCAAUGAUUCUCUUGGUGGUUUGAAACUGAAGAUUCCUGAGUUUAAAGGCACCGCUGAUCCAGAAGAAUAUUUAGAGUGUGAAAAGAAGAUUCAACUUGUGUUCAAUUGCAGAGACUACACUCAAGAGUACAAGAUGAAGCUUGCUCCUACUGAGUUCAAAGAGUAUGCACUAAGCUGGUGGGAUAACUUGGUUACAGCAAGAAGAAGGGCUGGAGAUUUUCAUGUUGAAACAUGGAACCAGAUGAAUGUGAUUAUGAGGAAGAGAUUUGUGUCGAGCCAUUACCACAGAGAGCUGCACUUCAAACUCAGAACACUGUCUCAAGGAAGUAAAUCAGUUGAAGAAUAUUAUAAGAAGAUGGAAACCCUUAUGCUGAGAACUGACAUACAAGAAGACAGAGAAGCAACAAUGGCCAGAUUCAUGGGUGGUCUGAACCGAGACAUCAUGGACAGACUUGAAGUUCAUCAUUAUGUUGAGAUGGAAGAGCUUCUGCACAAGGCAAUUAUGUUUGAACAGCAGUUGAAAAGAAGAAGUUACAAGUCUAGCUAUGGAGCCAGCAAGCCACAGUACCAGAAGGACGAAAAGACCAGAGAAUCCAAACCAUUCUCCAAGCCUAAAGUGGAGGAACAGAGUAUUAAAGGAAAGGAAGUAGUCACUGCAUCCAAAACCAGACACAUAUAGUGCUACAAGUGUAAAGGUUAUGGACACUAUGCAAGUAGCUGCUCCAACAAAAGGGUAAUACUCAUCAGAGAUAAUGGAGAGAUUGAAUCAGAGGAAGAAGAAAAAAUCUGAGUCUGAAGAAGAAAGAGUGGAGAUGCCAGCUCGUGAAGAGUUACUUGUCGCAAGAAGAACACUGAAUCUGCAAGCCAAGACUGUUGGAGAUGAGCAAAGAGAGAAUCUGUUUCAUACUCGCUGUAUGGUUCAAGGCAAGGUGUGCAGUUUGGUUAUAGAUGGAGGAAGUUGUACCAACGCUGCAAGUGAAACCAUGGUUGAGAAACUUGGUCUGAAGAUCAUGAAAAGACCAACCACCUACAAGUUACAAUGGCUUAAUGAUGAAGGAGAGCUGGAGGUGAAACACCAAGUCAAGAUACCAUUGUCUAUUGGGAAGUAUGAGGAUGAGAUAUUGUGUGAUGUCUUACCAGUCGAUGCUGGACACAUACUGCGUGGAAGGCCUUGGCAAUCCGAUAGAAGAACUCUUUAUGAUGGGUUCACAAACA
rnacentral:lncRNA from 1 species